rnacentral:piRNA from 1 species
UAUCAGACGAGAUAGGAGUGGUUCUCUGA